GUAGGUGGCAAGCGUUGUCCGGAAUUAUUGGGCGUAAAGCGCGCGCAGGUGGUUCUUUAAGUCUGAUGUGAAAGCCCCCCGGCUCAACCGGGGAGGGUCAUUGGAAACUGGGGAACUUGAGUGCAGGAGAGGAAAGUGGAAUUCCACGUGUAGCGGUGAAAUGCGCAGAUAUGUGGAGGAACACCAGUGGCGAAGGCGACUUUCUGGCCUGUAACUGACACUGAGGCGCGAAAGCGUGGGGAGCAAACAGGGAUUAGAUACCCUGGUAGUCCACGCCGUAAACGAUGAGUGCUAAGUGUUGGGGGGGUUUCCCGCCCCUCAGUGCUGCAGCUAACGCAUUAAGCACUCCGCCUGGGGAGUACGGUCGCAAGACUG
rnacentral:rRNA from 1 species